UUUAUGGAGAGUUUGAUCCUGGCUCAGGAUGAACGCUGGCGGCGUGCCUAAUACAUGCAAGUCGAGCGAACGGACGAGAAGCUUGCUUCUCUGAUGUUAGCGGCGGACGGGUGAGUAACACGUGGAUAACCUACCUAUAAGACUGGGAUAACUUCGGGAAACCGGAGCUAAUACCGGAUAAUAUUUUGAACCGCAUGGUUCAAAAGUGAAAGACGGUCUUGCUGUCACUUAUAGAUGGAUCCGCGCUGCAUUAGCUAGUUGGUAAGGUAACGGCUUACCAAGGCAACGAUGCAUAGCCGACCUGAGAGGGUGAUCGGCCACACUGGAACUGAGACACGGUCCAGACUCCUACGGGAGGCAGCAGUAGGGAAUCUUCCGCAAUGGGCGAAAGCCUGACGGAGCAACGCCGCGUGAGUGAUGAAGGUCUUCGGAUCGUAAAACUCUGUUAUUAGGGAAGAACAUAUGUGUAAGUAACUGUGCACAUCUUGACGGUACCUAAUCAGAAAGCCACGGCUAACUACGUGCCAGCAGCCGCGGUAAUACGUAGGUGGCAAGCGUUAUCCGGAAUUAUUGGGCGUAAAGCGCGCGUAGGCGGUUUUUUAAGUCUGAUGUGAAAGCCCACGGCUCAACCGUGGAGGGUCAUUGGAAACUGGAAAACUUGAGUGCAGAAGAGGAAAGUGGAAUUCCAUGUGUAGCGGUGAAAUGCGCAGAGAUAUGGAGGAACACCAGUGGCGAAGGCGACUUUCUGGUCUGUAACUGACGCUGAUGUGCGAAAGCGUGGGGAUCAAACAGGAUUAGAUACCCUGGUAGUCCACGCCGUAAACGAUGAGUGCUAAGUGUUAGGGGGUUUCCGCCCCUUAGUGCUGCAGCUAACGCAUUAAGCACUCCGCCUGGGGAGUACGACCGCAAGGUUGAAACUCAAAGGAAUUGACGGGGACCCGCACAAGCGGUGGAGCAUGUGGUUUAAUUCGAAGCAACGCGAAGAACCUUACCAAAUCUUGACAUCCUUUGACAACUCUAGAGAUAGAGCCUUCCCCUUCGGGGGACAAAGUGACAGGUGGUGCAUGGUUGUCGUCAGCUCGUGUCGUGAGAUGUUGGGUUAAGUCCCGCAACGAGCGCAACCCUUAAGCUUAGUUGCCAUCAUUAAGUUGGGCACUCUAAGUUGACUGCCGGUGACAAACCGGAGGAAGGUGGGGAUGACGUCAAAUCAUCAUGCCCCUUAUGAUUUGGGCUACACACGUGCUACAAUGGACAAUACAAAGGGCAGCGAAACCGCGAGGUC
rnacentral:rRNA from 1 species